GGCGGACCUAGCCAAGUGGAUAAGAGCAGUGAGAUUGUGGAACCUCCACGCGCGCGUCG
rnacentral:tRNA from 1 species